rnacentral:rRNA from 1 species
AUUGAACGCUGGCGGCAUGCCUUACACAUGCAAGUCGAACGGUAACGGGCCUUCGGGUGCCGACGAGUGGCGAACGGGUGAGUAAUGUAUCGGAACGUACCUUUCAGUGGGGGAUAACGUAGCGAAAGUUACGCUAAUACCGCAUAUUCUGUGAGCAGGAAAGCAGGGGAUCGCAAGACCUUGCGCUGAUUGAGCGGCCGAUAUCAGAUUAGCUAGUUGGUGAGGUAAAGGCUCACCAAGGCGACGAUCUGUAGCGGGUCUGAGAGGAUGAUCCGCCACACUGGAACUGAGACACGGUCCAGACUCCUACGGGAGGGCAGCAGGUAGGGUAAGUUUUGGACAAGUGGGGGACCAACCCGUGACUCCGACGCCAUCGCCGCGU